rnacentral:rRNA from 1 species
CCUACGGGUGGCAGCAGUGGGGAAUAUUGGUCAAUGGGCGAGAGCCUGAACCAGCCAAGUCGCGUGAGGGAAGACGGUCCUAUGGAUUGUAAACCUCUUUUGUCGGGGAGCAAAAAGGCCUCGUUAGGCCACACGUGAGAGUCCCCGCAGACAAAGCAACGGCUAACUCUGUGCCAGCAGCCGCGGUAAUUCGGAGGGUGCGAGCGUUAUCCGGAUUUAGUGGGUUGAAAGGGUGCGUAGGCGGACUGGCAAGUCAGCGGUAAAAUCGAGGGGCUCAACCUCUGUACGCCGUUGAAACUGUGGGUGUGGAGUGGGCGAGAAGUAUGCGGAAUGCGUGGUGUAGCGGUGAAAUGCAUAGAUAUCACGCAGAACUCCGAUUGCGAAGGCAGCAUACCGGAGCCCGACUGACGCUGAGGCACGAAAGCGUGGGUAUCGAACAGGAUUAGAUACCCGGGUAGUC